rnacentral:rRNA from 1 species
GCACAAUCAAUUGCCCGUUAAUUGCGGGCUGGAAUGAACGGGUAAACGAAAUAAUAGCUGUUUCAACUAGAAAUAUAAAAAUUAUCCUUUAGGUGAAGAGACCUGAAUAAAAUUGAAAGACAAGAAGACCCUAUAGAGCUUUACUUAUAUAUUUUAAUAAAAAAUAAAAAGUUCGGUUGGGGCGACCAAGGAAUACUAAUCAUCCUAAUACAAUUAAAGAACAAUAGUUCAUACAAAUGACCCUUUAAAAGAUCAAAAGAUCAAGCUACCUUAGGGGUAACAGGCUAAUCCUCCU